UAUCAUUAAAAUGAGACCGCUUUUUUGAAGAUUCACCCUCUUCGUUUUCUUCUCGGUAAUAAUCGUAGUCGAUAGAAUCUGUUAUACUAUUUCCAGCGAUAGAUUGGAAAAUUUUGAAUUCACAAUCGCCAACCGGAGAAUCCAAAAUAUACUAACAUUAUACGCUUAAAGCAGUUAAAGAGUUGUAGUUUAAGUUGGCAACCAACGUUCCUUUUCCCGCGCAACGAAUUUCCUACGCCUCUAUGCCUGCGCCAGUCGGCCGGUUUCGUUUAACCUGUGUUUUGGUCGAUCAGCUAAUUGACGUUAAUUUAAAAUUUUGGUUCAAAAAGUUAAAAAGUGUGUUUUUUGCGUUUAGCGUUUGUGUUUUUUUACUUGUUUUGAUUUGUUAGGUAUGAUAUUAUAGACCUUUGUGCUGUUUUUUGUAUAGUGGCUGAAGUUUGGACAUUUUAGGUUUAGUUGUUUGUGUCAAAAAACGUUUCAUAUGGACCCCAUGGAGGACAUUACGAAUAAAAUUCAUAAUUACGCAAGACCCUCUUCAACCCGGUGCAGUAUGACUGUUGUUGACAACAUCGUGGCACAGAAAAUGAUUGCCAAUGCGUAUUCAUCUUUCAAGAAGGAACAUUUUAAUUUAAGAUGCCCUACAGAGGUUGUUACUUCAAUAUAAAGUACAUAAUGUUAUUCGAAGUGUAUGUUCCAGUAUAGAUAAUAUUGUCUGUUGGAAAUAAAUUGUGUUAUUAUUAAAAGUAA